CCUAUGUAGUCAAGUCAGUCAAGCAUGGAUAGCAGGCGUCGGCGGUCGAAAGCGUGGCUUUAUUUUACUAAAAAAAAUUAAAUACCGGCGAAAUGUAACACGUGCGAUAGGACUGUUUUGUGCUUAGGAGGGUGCACGUCGAAGCACCUCCGAGUUCACGGUGUACGAAUAAAUGCUUAUCCCUUCUUUGACGCGCUGCACCGACCGUCCUCCUCUGCCUCUUCAUCUGGCUCCGGCUCCGACGCCCAGCCUGGCACCUCGGUGACUGCACUGCAGUCCGAAUCCGACAAUUUACAACCUGCUGGCCAGGCUCCGCGAUGUGCUCAGCGUACUCCGUUCACCAUAGUGGCAAUGGGGAAGAUGUCGGUGCCACAGACGGAAGAGUGCCACAGAAAGGUCACUGCACACAUAGUCAAAAGACUGCAUCCCUUUUCAGAGGUGGAAUCUCCAACAUUUAGGGAUAUGGUGAAAACUCUCAACCCAAAAUACAUACCACCUUCCAGGUACUACCUGUCAAACACAUUGAUCCCAUGGUUCAAUAAGAAUCGGAAUCGAGAAUCGUCAGGAAUCGGAAUCGAAACAAAGAAUCGGAAUCGUUCGAUUUCAAACGAUACCCAACCCUACUCACGUGCAGUGAUUUCUCCAGAUUCUCUUAACCUUUUGAUGAUAUCACAGACUGUAGAUAGUGAAAUCCCUAAAUUCCUUGCAAUAGCUGGUUGAGAAAUGUUGUUCUUAAACUGUUCGACAAUUUGCUCACGCAUUUGUUCAAAGUGGUGACCCUCACCCCAUCCUUGUUUGUGAAUGACUGAGCAUUUUAUGGAAGCUGCUUUUAAACCCAAUCAUGGCACCCACCUGUUCCCAAUUAGCCUAUUUACCCGUGGGAUGUUCCAAAUAAGUGUUUGAUGAGCAUUCCUCAACUUUUUCAGUCUUUGCCCCUUGUGCCAGCUUUUUUGAAAUAUGUUGCAGGUAUCAAAUUCCAAAUGAGCUAAUAUUUGCAAAAAAUACAGUUUACCAGUUUGUACGUUAUGUUUUUGUCUUUGCAGUCUUUUCAAUUGAAUAUACGUUGAAAAGGAUUUGCAAAUCAUUGUAUUUUGUUUUUAUUUACCAUUUACACAACGUGCCAACUUC